UAAUUAUUUGGGUUCCUUGAUCCUGUAUAAAUACCUAAGAUCUACCCAGCGAAUAACCGAUGUGGGACUAAACACACGCCUGCACGGGUCCUCACAUAUUGGAGGCAAGGGAAAAGCCAAUCCUCACAAUGGUAAAGUAGAUUAAAACCGUCCUUAUGCAGAGGUUUCAAAUGAAAAGAGAUGGGAGUAAGAACAUUUAAUGGAAAAUCACUCCAAGUGCACAGAAGAGGCUUGAAGAGGAGAAAACGGCCUAAAUUAUAUGUUUGCCUACAUAUACUGAAAAUUUGGUGUACCAAGUGAGUUGUGGCAAUAGGUUUUUUUUUUUUGCGUCCACUUAAACAAUUGGUCUUGUGGUUGUUACAUGUGGGAACUCACUGGAAUCCGUUGUAAGCAUGCAAUUGCUGCAAUAUAUGCAUCAAAGCAGCAGCUUGAGAUGUACAUUAGUUAUUAUUAUAGGAAGGAGGACUAUAUAAAGGCUUAUGAGCCUAUGAUAUAUCCUGUUCCUAGUGAGGAAUAAUAGGUGAAAACAAAUUUUGAACCUCUUGAUCGUCCUGCAGUAAAGAAGCAACCUGGAAGGCCUAAAAAGAGUAGCAAGAGAGGCACGAGAGAGCCUAAAAAAUAGGCUGGGGUUAGACUGAGGUAUCAUUCUAUGAGGUGCUCAAACCGUAUGCAGUCUAGGCAAAACUACAAGACCUGAAAGAAGCGAAGAAGACUUAGACCUAAAAAAUUGAAAGAGCAAGAAGAGAGAAGACAGGGAUGUAGAUGUAUGUCAGAGGUUAUGUUCUUUAUUUGUGAUUUAUAAGAUGCUUAUUUGUUAUGUAUCCUGUUAUUUAUUUGUUAUUUAUGCAAGUGUGUCAUGUGGCAGGUUAUAGGUGGAAGUACUAACAAUUCUGGUCCCAUGUAUGUUGAAAAUAGCAGUUGGUUUGUCAUUGUGUAUCAGGAACUUGAGAUAGAAAGGAGAUCCAAGCCUAGUGUUGGAAGAGGUGGUCACAUGAGAAAUAGUAUUGCCACAAGUCAGCACCAGGGGGUCACCCAGACAUCCUAUCAAGUCAAGACAACACUGUACCAACUCAAGACUUCACUGCACAUGGUUCUGAAAGAAGACAGUGAUUGUUACUGUUGAUAGGUUGCUAGGGGUUCUGAACAUGGUCUAAGAGAUUGCUAGGGAUUCUAAAUAUAUUUUGAAUGCAAAUGAGUUCUGAACAUGGUUCUGAUUGUGAUUGAGAGGUUCUGAAAGUUCUGAACAUAAUCUAAAUGUCUUGUGAAUGUGAAUUUUAUCAUUUCCAUAUAUGGAUCUGAACAUAAUGUUAUUCCUUCUAAUGUCUUGUGAAUAGAUGUCUUGAACGAUUAGUGUUGUGUAUAGAUCUGAAUAUUUCUUUGUCUAUUGAGCAAUUCAAUACAUAUUGGUUCAAAGAAAGCAGAAAUGAGUUUGUUCA